rnacentral:rRNA from 1 species
AGGAGAAGUCGUAACAAGGUUUCCGUAGGUGAACCUGCGGAAGGAUCAUUGUCGAAACCUGCCCAGCAGAGCGACCCGUGAACACGUUCAACCUCAUGGGUGCUGGGGCGUUGCUCGGUGCCUCGUGYGCCUGCCCGCCCCUCUCCCAGGCCGGGGARCGCCYACUUGUGGGCUGUUUCCCGGCUAACCAACGAACCCCGGCGCGUAAAUGCGUCAAGGAAUAUAAACUUUAUGUGUGUGCUCUCCUAUCGCCCGGUUAGCCGGGCGUUGGAGUGCGCCAUGUCUUAACAAUAAACGACUCUCGGCAACGGAUAUCUCGGCUCUCGCAUCGAUGAAGAACGUAGCGAAAUGCGAUACUUGGUGUGAAUUGCAGAAUCCCGUGAACCAUCGAGUUUUUGAACGCAAGUUGCGCCCGAAGCCUCCGGCUGAGGGCACGUCUGCCUGGGCGUCACGCAUCGCGUCUCCCCCAUAAUCCACCUCGGUGGAGGGGAAGGAGGAUGGUUUCCCGCGACUCACCGGUCGCGGCUGGCCUAAAAUCGGAGCCCUCGGCAUCGGGAUGCCGCGGCGAUAGGUGGUGAACAAGGCCUCGGCCAAGCAAGCAACCCGUCGCGCAUGCCGUGCCAACGCGGGCUCGAAGGACCCUUUGUCGUUGUCUUUAAGGCRACCAAACCGUUGCGACCCCAGGUCAGGCGGGGCUACCCGCUGAA